rnacentral:rRNA from 1 species
GCGGGGGAUAACACUUGGAAACAGGUGCUAAUACCGCAUAAUACUUUUUCUCUCAUGAGUGAAAGUUGAAAGGCGCUUUUGCGUCACUGAUGGAUGGACCCGCGGUGCAUUAGCUAGUUGGUGGGGUAACGGCCUACCAAGGCAACGAUGCAUAGCCGACCUGAGAGGGUGAUCGGCCACACUGGGACUGAGACACGGCCCAGACUCCUACGGGAGGCAGCAGUAGGGAAUCUUCGGCAAUGGACGAAAGUCUGACCGAGCAACGCCGCGUGAGUGAAGAAGGUUUUCGGAUCGUAAAACUCUGUUGUUAGAGAAGAACAAGGAUGAGAAGAGAAUGUUCAUCCCUUGACGGUAUCUAACCAGAAAGCCACGGCUAACUACGUGCCAGCAGCCGCGGUAAUACGUAGGUGGCAAGCGUUGUCCGGAUUUAUUGGGCGUAAAGCGAGCGCAGGCGGUUCUUUAAGUCUGAUGUGAAAGCCCCCSGCUCAACCGGGGGAGGGUCAUUGGAAACUGGGGAACUUGAGUGCAGAAGAGGAGAGUGGAAUUCCAUGUGUAGCGGUGAAAUGCGUAGAUAUAUGGAGGAACACCAGUGGCGAAGGCGGCUCUCUGGUCUGUAACUGACGCUGAGGCUCGAAAGCGUGGGGGAGCAAACAGGAUUAGAUACCCUUGGUAGUCCACGCCGUAAACGAUGAGUGCUAAGUGUUGGAGGGUUUCCGCCCUUCAGUGCUGCAGCUAACGCAUUAAGCACUCCGCCUGGGGAGUACGACCGCAAGGUUGAAACUCAAAGGAAUUGACGGGGGCCCGCACAAGCGGUGGAGCAUGUGGUUUAAUUCGAAGCAACGCGAAGAACCUUACCAGGUCUUGACAUCCUUUGACCACUCUAGAGAUAGAGCUUUCCCUUCGGGGACAAAGUGACAGGUGGUGCAUGGUUGUCGUCAGCUCGUGUCGUGAGAUGUUGGGUUAAGUCCCGCAACGAGCGCAACCCUUAUUGUUAGUUGCCAUCAUUUAGUUGGGCACUCUAGCGAGACUGCCGGUGACAAACCGGAGGAAGGUGGGGAUGACGUCAAAUCAUCAUGCCCCUUAUGACCUGGGCUACACACGUGCUACAAUGGGAAGUACAACGAGUUGCGAAGUCGCGAGGCUAAGCUAAUCUCUUAAAGCUUCUCUCAGUUCGGAUUGUAGGCUGCAACUCGCCUACAUGAAGCCGGAAUCGCUAGUAAUCGCGGAUCAGCACGCCGCGGUGAAUACGUUCCCGGGCCUUGUACACACCGCC